rfam:Triticum aestivum genome assembly, contig: Triticum_aestivum_CS42_TGACv1_scaffold_211628_3AS
UGUGUACUCCCUCCGUUCCAAAAUACUUGACUUCUAUUUGUCCAAAAAUGGAUGUACCUAUAUACUAAAACAUGUCUAGAUACAUAUAUAUUUUGACAAAUAGAAGGCAUGUAUUGUGCAAAGGAGGGAGUAGAAU